UUAACUCAAGUUUGUAUGGAGUUAAAACGUUUGUCUACGUUUGCCGCUAGGGGCGCUGUUCCAACUGCAUACAAAUUUGAGUUA
rnacentral:pre_miRNA from 1 species